ACUUAAUUAGUUUAUUAGAAUAUUGAUUUGUGGAGUCAAAGGAAUUUUUUAAUAUUAGGUU
rnacentral:tRNA from 1 species